ensembl:lncRNA
UGCAACAUGUGGGGGGUUAGUUUUAGAGGGACCAGAGGAGGGGGCAGAGCUCAAAGAAUCAAGCCAGUGUAAUGUAAAAAGCACCAAAACAGCACCGCAGUCUACCUGGUGUUCAGGGCAGUGACCCCGACUCGGCUCAGCUCGGUGGCCCCUGAAGUUUUUGGUCCCUGAUGCUCCUGCGGGUCACCCAGGAUGCUCUUCGGUUUUUGGAUUGUGUGCGUUCCUCGUACACCUGUCACGCACCGAGGAAGGGAGGAACAAGUGGGAGAGGGAGACAGGUGGAAAGCACUUGCUGCUGAACAAACUCAGAUUUUGGUGCGCCGGAGCAGGUUUUACGCACGCAGGUAGACCUGCUGGUUCUGCAGCGUGAAGUGAAAAAUCACCAGAAAACUGAGAAAUCUUUUAGUUUGAUUUCAUUUAAAGAUUAUCCCGCAAGAACUGAGUUGCACUACAUCUCUGCAAGGUGCAUGUCUUCCUAUGAAUUUAAGUUAAAUUUUCCAAAUCUUACUCGUCUUCAGUUUAAGUUGAAAGUAGCAGAAAGUGGAUUUCCUGUGCGUCUGGCCGGUUACAAAUUCUAAACCAACAAGCAAAACGUGAUCAUAUCACUGCAUAGAGUUAAACAGUGAAUAGAAGUCGUUUUUAAAAAGCACUGCCAUUAGGUUUUUCUUCGCUUUCUUUCCUUUUUCAGAAUCUAAAUGCGAGAAACAAUCUCUGUUAUGUCUCAGGGUCCCAGCUUGCAACUUUAAUUAUAGUGGAAGAAGGUCAGUCAUAAGCGGUUAUUCGACCCCUCUCCUUGUGUGGCAUCGCGCCCUUUGCCGUUAAACUCGCCAAAAUAGUGCUGGACUCCCCUGAAAGCGCCAUGUGCGCCAGAGUCCCUUUCACCCCCGUGUGCACCUGAGUUGUUUUUACCCCCCAGGAGCGGAUAUGCUGUGAAUUUGUCACUUAUCUGGGCACGGGCUCGUCAGAGGACAUUUUAGGAGCAAUAACUUUCCCAGAUGGUUUAGGCUGCCAACUUAGUGCGUUUCUCAGCAGCUAAGUGAAUAGCCUGCAUGCCUGUUGCUUCCUAGAAAUAUGCUUACGCCUACUAAUGAAGACUAAUUAAAACAUGACAAACAUGGACCUUUACUGCAUCCUAAGUAGGGCUGCAAGCAUGAUUUGGAUUAUGCAAAUGAAUUCCCUUUUCUUUGACAAUAUAAGUAGGAAAACACGCUCCUCUGAUGUGUGUCAAAUAAGGCUGUUGUAAUUUGAUCUGUGUUUUGAUUUUUAUGAUAGCCUACGCAAAAUAACUGAAUCAUUGUUUUUCAUACUAAAUUUCAUACCCAGGCCUGCAAACACAGUUAAUCUCCUUGAAUCCGGAUAGAAAGAGCAGCCCCUCAUAUUUAAUUCUUUUAUUAUUUUUAAGAAAACUAAAGGAAUAAGCAUAACCUGCCCUGUUUACCAGUUCACAAUAUGCAGAGUUCUUGUCUGCCUCUGCAAGAUACACCUUGCAAUGGAAAUGCUCACCUUGAUUUAUUCCAUUAGCCUUUUAUUCAGCUGUUAUUAUUAUUACCCUGGUCGAUUUGCAGAGUCUGAUCUGGGCUGUAAGAUGCACUGGGUGUGUUUAAUUUACACUGGGAGAGGAUUUGUUUGGAUGGCAUGCAUAAUUUGCCAUCACCUGAGAUUUAUGCUGUCAUUUUUAUUACUGUCCUGCGGACGAAGAGGAGGAAUCAAGAGGAAUGGCACACAAGGCUGAGCAUGCUGACUGAACAGAUAAAUCCCACAUGACAUGGAUUGUUGUUUACACUUUUUAAAGGUGAUUCUCUAUCAGCCGACUCCAUGUGUUUUUUAUUCAUUUUCUGUGUGUGUGAUUUAACCUUAGCACCUGGAGGAAUGACCACCUGGAAAAAAAAGGAGGAAUCACAGCUACUUAAAUGGAGCAAAGGUGUGAACGGAUCAUUUCACCCUCAGACAUGAAUACGCAGAGAAGGCAGGGAGCAGCCUGAGACUGCCAUUUGAAUGGAAUCUGAGAGGGGUCCAUAGAUGUCAUGUCCAGACAAGCUGAGAGGAUAAAUACUGUCAUCUGGUGGUAACAAAAGCCAUCACUACGGACUAGACAGCAUUGUAUUCUUGCGCUCUGCUGCACGGUUUAGUAUUUUUAUAUCUUCUCUUUCCUCUUUCAUUCAACAUUUUUCACUGUCACACAUGUAUUCAGUUUCAGAACAAGUUGUUAGGACCGAACUUCAUCCACCAAACAUCAGUUUAGGACCAGAGAAGGAGCAUGAAUCAAGCAAGUGCUGUUUUUGUGACAGCACUGCAUUAGUUUGUAAGAAGCAUUGGUCUGUUCCUCAAGAUGGUUUAGGGCUUUAUGAACUGCUUUAUGUAAAGUUUGGUAGUUUAGUCCAGUUAUGUGGCUCAUAUGUUUUGGUUUGAGGCUCCUCUAAAGAGCCACAAGAUAAAUUUAAGUGUUCGUAAGGUGACUACAGGCAGGCAAAUAUAGAAAACAUUAAAUACUGAUACAAAACUAUGUGUUAAUUUAUGGC